UUACCAAUAAAUGUGUUGAUGUUCAGUUUGAUAAAUGAGGUUCAUCAUCAUAUGCUGUAUGCCAGUGUUACAUCCAUUACUUGUAAGAAGAUCUAUUUUCUUUUCAGAAAAAAUAAUGACACUUUUCAAAAAAAUUGAAGUGUAACACUCGGUGACUUUACAACCAAAAAAAAUGGCUGCUGCACUGAUUUCCAAAUCCAAAAGCACUGCUUCCUGGAAAGUGUUUUACAGGAUUCUGUACCAUGCACACACAUGAUGGAGGAGGGACUGAGGGGGCAGAGUGUGAAGAAAAAUCUUCCUUGUGUGUGUGUGUGUGUGUGUGUGUGUGUGUGUGUGUGUUUAACUGAAUUCUGCCUGGCCUGAUACUGCGCCGUUACAUCAUCACUGGUAUGCUAGUAACUGAAAUAGAGGCAUGGUGUGAUCCUCCCUAACCCCUAACACACAAUCACACACACACACACACACACACAGAGCACUGCCUGUUCUCUACUUGCUCAACGCAGAUGCUCCUGUCCACCAAUAGGAAAGUGGUAGAGCACAGGGGAGGGUCUCGAUGUCUCACAACAGCAGUUUUUCACGACUUGCUGACUUUUUGUCCAGGACGCAAAUAUGAUGUACGUUAGAAACGUAUAUAUUAUUAUAAUAACUCAUGUCAUUAUAUUACAGUAGUUACUACUUUGGCUUUUGGUUCAGCAAAUCUUUGGUAUGAAUCAGGAGAUAGAUUCAGCUAAAAAAAGGAGCCGCCCACAUGAUGGGGUGUUUGAAUCCCCACCUCCUUUAAUCAAACCACACCCUGUUCGGUUUCAACAGACUGGAAAGCAAAAAACAUCUCAAAAUGGAUUGAGGGUCACUUCCGCACCACUGGAUCAAAAUUAUAGACGGUAUUAAUAAAGUCCACGAUCAAGAAUGGCUUAAAUUCAAGGCUACAUUUUGACUAACACUGUGAACAUUCUUUCCAACUUUUGUGUCACUAUCAUCACUAUCAGAUUCCUUUAAGAAACUUUAAAAGGUUAACUUUUUUAAAAAACUGAGAAACUAUGAAACGUGCUCCUGCUCAGGUUUGGACUGAAGACAGCUUAUAAAUUUAUAUUCUCUAGUUACUUGACCUGAGAAAGCUAACUUUACCUCAGACCCCAACAACGAGUCUUAAAAUUAAACACAUUGCUCCAUUUUUUCUUCAUAUUGUCAUUCAGAUCAGCUGUACUGUGGAACUGAAGUGACUGAACUUAAAGAGCAUCUUAAAGUGUUAUAAAAAAACUGAUUUAUUUCUUGAUUAGUGCAUCUCUGCUAUAAUUUGUUAUAGCAGAUAUACACAGCAUUUCAUCUGACUGUUAUAAAGAGCUGAUAGUGAAGAGUUUAACUAGGGUUGUGUAUUUCUCUCUUUCAGACAAUAUAAUACACAUCUCUGUAAAUAAGCUAUAAAGUUAAACAAGAAACGAUUCAAUACACUUCGAUUCACACCUGAGACAAUACAGUUUUGGUUCAGGAAUGAUACACUUCCAUUCGCUAAUGAUGGGAUAUGAUUAGUUUCCGCACCCAUACAAUUUGACUCACUACUGAUCCAAUAGGAUUCGGUUCAGCACCAAUACAUUUCGAGUCACUACUGAACCAUUAUGAUUCAGUUCAGCACUGAUAAAAUUUGAUUCACUACUGAUCCAAUAUGAUUCGGUUCAACACCAAUACAAUUCAAUUCUCUACUGGUCCCACAUGAUUCGGUUCAGCACCAAUUCAAUUCGAUUCGCUACUGAUCCGAUAUGAUUCAUUUCAGCACCAAUACAAUUCGAUUCGCUACUGAUCUAAUAUGAUUCCGUUCAGCAUCGAACCAAUUUGAUUCAGUUCAGCAAAGAUAAAAUUCGAUUCACUACUGACCCAAUACUAUUAAUCUCAGCACCGAUACACUUCGAUUCACUACUGAUCCAAUAUGAUUCAGUUCAGUGAGAUCAGACAUGUACUAAUGUUUCCUAGUUUUGACUCUUUAACGAACAAUUUCAAAACAUUUCUUCACUGUAUUUAUUGUGUCUGAGUUACUACGUUAACUUUUAGUUUUAAUGUUUAUAUCACUAUAUCACUCUUUUUUUGGUAAAUAAAUUUUUUUUAUUGUAUUAUAAUUUUAAUCAUCUAUUUAUUGUUGAGCACCGUAUAUAAUCCUGAGCAUCCUUCAAACAACUUUGUGAAUUAUUCAUUACUAUAGAAACGAUAAUGUAUUAGAAAUGAUAGAAAAUCUAUUCCCACCUCCUGACCAAUCAGAAUCGAGAAUUCAACAACGUAGCUGUAACAUGAAUAUUAAUGAGUAUCGGGUCUCUGCGUCAUGAAUAUUCAUGAGUAGUGGGUGGUCUUGAUGAAGAAAGCCCACAACUGUAUAAAGAUCUUUGAAAAUAAUAUACAGAUAAGACUUUCAGGCUAAAAUAUCACCUGAGAUGUGUUGUAUAGACACAGAAAAAUAUUUUUUUAAAUAAUAUAUCGAAUAUUUAAUGCUCCUAAAACUCAUUGCAGGGUCUGAUGUGACCUGAACACACCUUAAGACCAUCUUGCUGAACCUGAUAAACGAGUCCACACGCGUGUCUUAGCUGCUGGGAGCUCAAAACACACUGCUGCUUAGUUAGUAGACGGAAUUGUUGCUGAAAAAUAUCGAUAAAUAAACAACGCGUUGUUUGUUUACUUGGGUUGUGUGCGCGUGCAGGGGAUGGGACGCGUUAUUGUAUUUAGAAAUAAAGCAUGUCAGUGAUGUUCACAGACGUUUCCAAGCUUUUAAAAUGGGUCACCAUUGAGUAAUCCCAUUUUUUUUAAAACUGUCGGACAUUUUUCUGUUAAUAUUAACAUUUCUAGUUACAUUUGCUGCAUUGAAAUGUUGCACGAGCCGGCUAACAUCCAGCUAGCGUGCUUCUGCGCUAAUAAGCUUAACUACUCACCGUGAGAAAUGAGUCGGCAAGCUAUUCUGAAGAGGUAUUUCCGACGAAUUAACUAUAUAUAUAUAUUUUUACUUAUUUUGUCCU